rnacentral:rRNA from 1 species
AUCAUGGCUCAGAUUGAACGCUGGCGGCAUGCUUUACACAUGCAAGUCGAACGGCAGCGCGGGGGCAACCCUGGCGGCGAGUGGCGAACGGGUGAGUAAUGUAUCGGAACGUAUCCUGUAAUGGGGGAUAACCAGCCGAAGAUUGGGUAAUACCGCAUACGCACGAGAGUGGAAAGUAGGGGAUCGCAAGACCUUACGUUAUAGGAGCGGCCGAUAUCUGAUUAGCUAGUUGGUGGGGUAAAGGCCUACCAAGGCGACGAUCAGUAGCUGGUCUGAGAGGAUGAUCAGCCACACUGGGACUGAGACACGGCCCAGACUCCUACGGGAGGCAGCAGUGGGGAAUUUUGGACAAUGGGCGAAAGCCUGAUCCAGCCAUGCCGCGUGCGGGAAGAAGGCCUUCGGGUUGUAAACCGCUUUAGUCUAGGAAAAAGGGGUGCGAGGUUAAUACCCUCGUGCUUUGAUGGUACUGGAAGAAUAAGCACCGGCUAACUACGUG